GGGGAUGUAAAGGUUUCGACGGGGGCUGUAAGCCCUGGUAAGCGAGCAGCGGUGCGGAACCGCUUUAAAAUCCGCAACUUUAAAAAAUAAACGACAAUAAUAAAUUUGUUGCACAAGCUGCUUAAUUAAGCAGCCGUUCUUACCGGGAGUACCGCGGCUCGGCUAAGAGCGUCAUUUAGCGGUGAACGUGAACCGGCAAGCGCCCUGUACCCGGUCAUGAUUUAAGGGCUGCCUGAUGCUGUAGCUUGUUGAUGGGCGACGGCAGCGGGGAGAAAAAAGCAUCAACUACGCUCGUAGAAAGCCUUGGUAAGCGGCUUUCGGACAGGGGUUCGAUUCCCCUCAUCUCCACCA
rnacentral:sRNA from 1 species